rnacentral:rRNA from 1 species
UACGGGGGGGGCAAGCGUUGUUCGGAAUUACUGGGCGUAAAGGGCUCGUAGGUGGCCAACUAAGUCAGACGUGAAAUCCCUCGGCUUAACCGGGGAACUGCGUCUGAUACUGGAUGGCUUGAGUUCGGGAGAGGGAUGCGGAAUUCCAGGUGUAGCGGUGAAAUGCGUAGAUAUCGGGAGGAACACCUGUGGCGAAAGCGGCGCACUGGACCAUAACUGACGCUGAUGCGCGAAAGCUAGGGGAGCAAACAGG